rnacentral:snRNA from 1 species
GUGCUUCCUUUGGCAGCAUAUAUAUUAAAACUUGAAUGAUACAUAGAAGAUUAGUAUGGUCCCUGUGAAAGUCAUUCAUACAAAUUUGUGUUUUAUUU